GACGAACGCUGGUGGCGUGCUUAACACAUGCAAGUCGAACGGAAAGGCCCUGCUUUUGUGGGGUGCUCGAGUGGCGAACGGGUGAGUAACACGUGAGUAACCUGCCCUUGACUUUGGGAUAACUUCAGGAAACUGGGGCUAAUACCGGAUAGGAGCUCCUGCUGCAUGGUGGGGGUUGGAAAGUUUCGGCGGUUGGGGAUGGACUCGCGGCUUAUCAGCUCGUUGGUGGGGUAGUGGCUUACCAAGGCUUUGACGGGUAGCCGGCCUGAGAGGGUGACCGGCCACAUUGGGACUGAGAUACGGCCCAGACUCCUACGGGAGGCAGCAGUGGGGAAUAUUGCACAAUGGGCGGAAACCUGAUGCAGCAACGCCGCGUGCGGGAUGACGGCCUUCGGGUUGUAAACCGCUUUCGCCUGUGACGAAGCGUGAGUGACGGUAAUGGGUAAAGAAGCACCGGCUAACUACGUGCCAGCAGCCGCGGUGAUACGUAGGGUGCGAGCGUUGUCCGGAUUUAUUGGGCGUAAAGGGCUCGUAGGUGGUUGAUCGCGUCGGAAGUGUAAUCUUGGGGCUUAACCCUGAGCGUGCUUUCGAUACGGGUUGACUUGAGGAAGGUAGGGGAGAAUGGAAUUCCUGGUGGAGCGGUGGAAUGCGCAGAUAUCAGGAGGAACACCAGUGGCGAAGGCGGUUCUCUGGGCCUUUCCUGACGCUGAGGAGCGAAAGCGUGGGGAGCGAACAGGCUUAGAUACCCUGGUAGUCCACGCUGUAAACGGUGGGUACUAGGUGUGGGGUCCAUUCCACGGGUUCCGUGCCGUAGCUAACGCUUUAAGUACCCCGCCUGGGGAGUACGGCCGCAAGGCUAAAACUCAAAGGAAUUGACGGGGCCCCGCACAAGCGGCGGAGCAUGCGGAUUAAUUCGAUGCAACGGGUAGAACCUUACCUGGGUUUGACAUGGAUCGGGAGUGCUCAGAGAUGGGUGUGCCUCUUUUGGGGUCGGUUCACAGGUGGUGCAUGGCUGUCGUCAGCUCGUGUCGUGAGAUGUUGGGUUAAGUCCCGCAACGAGCGCAACCCUUGUUCACUGUUGCCAGCACGUUAUGGUGGGGACUCAGUGGAGACCGCCGGGGUCAACUCGGAGGAAGGUGGGGAUGACGUCAAGUCAUCAUGCCCCUUAUGUCCAGGGCUUCACGCAUGCUACAAUGGCUGGUACAGAGAGUGGCGAGCCUGUGAGGGUGAGCGAAUCUCGGAAAGCCGGUCUCAGUUCGGAUUGGGGUCUGCAACUCGACCUCAUGAAGUCGGAGUCGCUAGUAAUCGCAGAUCAGCAACGCUGCGGUGAAUACGUUCCCGGG
rnacentral:rRNA from 1 species